rnacentral:rRNA from 1 species
AUUGAACGCUGGCGGCAGGCCUAACACAUGCAAGUCGAACGGUAACAGGAAGAAGCUUGCUUCUUUGCUGACGAGUGGCGGACGGGUGAGUAAUGUCUGGGAAACUGCCUGAUGGAGGGGGAUAACUACUGGAAACGGUAGCUAAUACCGCAUAACGUCGCAAGCCCAAAAAGGGGGACCUUCGGGCCUCUUGCCAUCGGAUGUGCCCAGAUGGGAUUAGCUAGUAGGUGGGGUAACGGCUCACCUGGGCGACGAUCCCUAGCUGGUCUGAGAGGAUGACCAGCCACACUGGAACGGAGACACGGUCCAGACUCCUACGGGAGGCAGCAGUGGGGAAUAUUGCACAAUGGGCGCAAGCCUGAUGCAGCCAUGCCGCGUGUAUGAAGAAGGCCUUCGGGUUGUAAAGUACUUUCAGCGGGGAGGAAGGGAGUAAAGUUAAUACCUUUGCUCAUUGACGUUACCCGCAGAAGAAGCACCGGCUAACUCCGUG